CAUACGGGUUGAAGCAUGACCGUAAGGACAUGUGGACAGUAUGGGAGUGAGAAUGUUGGCAUGAGUAGCGAGAUGUGGGUGAGAAUCCCACAGGCCGUAAACCCAAGGUUUCCAGGGGAAGGUUCGUCCGCCCUGGGUUAGUCGGGACCUAAGCUGAGGCCGAAAGGCGUAGGUGAUGGACAACAGGUUGAUAUUCCUGUACUACCGAUAACCGUUUGAGAGAAGGGAUGACACAGUAGGAUAAGCUAAGCACACUGUUGGUUAUGUGUGCCCAAGCAUUGAGGCAGUCAAAGCAGGCAAAUCCGCUUUGAUAAUGCUGGGAUGUGAUGGGGAGCGAAAUUUAGUAGCGAAGUAGCUGAUUUCACACUGUCAAGAAAAGUCUCUAUCGAGGUUAAAGGUACCCGUACCGCAAACCGACACAGGUGGGUGAGGAGAGUAUCCUAAGGCCAGCGAGAGAACUGUUGUUAAGGAACUCGGCAAAAUGACCCCGUAACUUAGGGAUAAGGGGUGCCACCAUCCGGUGGCCGCAGAGAAUAGGCCCAAGCGACUGUUUACCAAAAACAUAGGUUUCUGCUAAGUCGCAAGACGAUGUAUAGGAGCUGACGCCUGCCCGGUGCUGGAAGGUUAAGGGGAUCUGUUAGAGCAAUCGAAGCAGUGAACUUAAGCCCCAGUAAACGGCGGCCGUAACUAUAACGGUCCUAAGGUAGCGAAAUUCCUUGUCGGGUAAGUUCCGACCCGCACGAAAGGCGUAACGAUUUGGGCACUGUCUCAACAACAGACUCGGUGAAAUUGUAAUUCCGGUGAAGAUGCCGGAUACCUGCGACAGGACGGAAAGACCCCAUGGAGCUUUACUGUAGCUUGACAUUGGGUCUUGGUACUACAUGUACAGGAUAGGUGGGAGGCUUUGAAACCAGGACGCCAGUUUUGGCGGAGCCAUCCUUGGGAUACCACCCUUGUAGUACUGGGACUCUAACCAUAGGCCAUGAAUCUGGUCUUGGGACACUGUCAGGUGGGCAGUUUGACUGGGGCGGUCGCCUCCCAAAAGGUAACGGAGGCGCUCAAAGGUUCUCUCAGUACGGUCGGAAAUCGUACGUAGAGUGUAAAGGCAAAAGAGAGCUUGAUUGCAAGACAUACAGGUCGAGCAAGGAUGAAAAUCGGACUUAGUGAUCCGGUGGUUCUGCGUGGAAGGGCCAUCGCUCAACGGAUAAAAGCUACCCUGGGGAUAACAGGCUUAUCUCCCCCAAGAGUCCACAUCGACGGGGAGGUUUGGCACCUCGAUGUCGGCUCAUCACAUCCUGGGGCUGUAGUAGGUCCCAAGGGUUGGGCUGUUCGCCCAUUAAAGUGGUACGCGAGCUGGGUUCAGAACGUCGUGAGACAGUUCGGUCCCUAUCCGUCGCAGGCGUAGGAAAUUUGAGAAGACCUGUCCUUAGUACGAGAGGACCGGGAUGGACGUACCUCUGGUGUACCAGUUGUUCUGCCAAGGGCAUGGCUGGGUAGCUAUGUACGGAAUGGAUAAGCGCUGAAAGCAUCUAAGCGCGAAGCCAACUUCAAGAUAAGAUUUCCCACCGCAAGGGUAAGACCCCAGAAAGACUAUCUGGUUGAUAGGUCGAAGGUGUAAGUGCAGCAAUGUAUUUAGCUUAUCGAUACUAAUA
rnacentral:rRNA from 1 species